rnacentral:lncRNA from 1 species
AACAAUCAGGUGAGCAUUCAGCUAAGUUUGUCAAUGGACUUGAUUAGGUCUUCUUCAACACAGGGACAGGUGCAUUGUGCUUGGUCUCAGCCCUCUCAGAAUGGGAAGAGGUAACAUUCAUCCAAUGAUGCACAUAGAUCUUAAAGGGAAAGACAGUGCACAUGGCAAAAGACAAUACUAUUAAUCAUCAAGCACCAUUACAAAACACUAGCUUGCUUUCCUAUCUGUAGGUCUGGUUGCCAUUUUUCUGGGUAGGAUGGACAGAAUUCUGAAAAAAUACCUAGGUCUUUCUCAUAUCUUAGAAUAGUAAUUACAAAAGUCCCAAUUUAUUGGUCACUUACUACAUGUUAGGAAUUCUUGUGUUUUUUCCCCCUUUUCUUUUUAUCCCCAAACAUCGCAGAAAUGGAGAUAAUUCUAGACUAAUUUUCCAGAUGAGAAAACAGAGGAUAAAAUAUUUUUUCAUGUUGUUAUUUGGUCUUAAGAAUUAUCUGAUAAGCAGGAUUAAUUAGCUCUAUCUCAUAGAUGAGAAAACUAACACCCAGAGAAAACCAUCCUAUCUCCUGAAAGAGGUUGUACUGGGAUCUGAAGUCGUUUGACAAAAAGGCUAUGGUAUUAGUUAUGACAUUUUCCUGCCCUCUGGGGAAACAUGGGGUCACAAGAUCUGUUCUUCUCAUAAGCACCACCACUUGGUAGCAGCCUUUGGUCAAAAAUGAGACUGGACAUUGACCUUCUCAGUGGAGGUCCAUGUUCCUAACAUGGAUUCAUCCACAAGUAGUAGAUUUCACAAGAGGAAAUGAUGAGGCAUUUUUCUGAGGUGUUGAAAUUGUUCUCUUUGUCAGUUACCACCACCAACACACACACACACACACACACACACACACGCAAAAUUCCUCAAAGGUAAAAGGUAGCUUUCUUCUCCCAUAGUUCUGAUUUAGUCCCAAAAGGAAAAAGAAGCUUGCAUAAUUCGGGCCCCAGUAAUUCUUUCAUUCUUAUUAACUGCAAAUCUUUGCCACAUUUUUCCUUACUAAUUAGUUAAAUGUUUAAGCUCCUGAGUCACCAGGCUGUCUACUGGUUACAGCUUGUUCUAACUCUUCCACCCUUAAAUGGAACUUGCAAUGAACUAGGCACUCAAAAAAAUUCCACAUUCAAGUCAUGAGAAGAAGCCAACAAUGAAAUCAGUCACCGUUGAGAGGGGUGGAGAGCGGAGCACCAAGACCACCAAUGCUGGGUCAAGGCUUGCGGAUAUGCUGUCACCGAGAGGAAGAGAGAAGAAUUCAGUUUAUUCAUUUAUAGUGUGUGCAUUCUUUCUCCUAAGAUCCCUGAUUCUCUGGUCCCUUGCUGCCUUCAGAAGCACAGCUAUUUUAACCUGAUGCUUGACUGAAGUUGAAUGUCUCUCCAGCCGUGAUGGAGCCAGACAGGGAGCCGCUUUCCUGUUCUGGUGGCUAAUGGAGGAGCCAAGAGAACAAAGUUGGUCAAAGCCUUGUGGUCCAGGAGAAUCAACCGUUCACUCCAGGAGACAUGACAUGACUUUAGCCAAAAGCACACGUGGAAGUUGGGAACUUGGCCUCCUCUGGAGAAGACAUGUAUUUAGCACGGAUCAUUUCUCUCCCAGAUACUCUGCACCAUGCAAGGCUCCCAGUGGGUGCUCCAUUAAUAACUGUCAUGUAAACCUCAGCACAAAAGGCUUUGUGUAGCAUUCCAUAGCUAUAUUUAUUGGUACAAAUUUGUAUGAACUUCCACUGACUGGCCCCAAACACUUUCUCAAAGACUCAUCAGGAUUGUCGCUACCAGAACACUCGCUGGUCCCAAGCAGCCCUCCUUUCCACCACUUCUGUAAUUGACAGUCUCCAUUCUUCACCUUCUACCAGUUUUCCUAAGAAUCAAACCUGAUUAUCACACACACACACACACACACACACACACACACAUCACAUGAAUCCAUACCUCUAUAUGUAGAAUGGAGUUCAAGCCAAUCAAUAUCAUAUAUAAAAUGCUUCCACCCUGACUCCAACUUGCUCAUCAAUGUUAAUCUCUGUUUACCUUCAUCUCCCAUUUCUGAUAUUUCCAGAAAAUCACCUUACUUUCCUCACCAUUCCAAAGGAGUACCUGGUUUGAACUUGGUGGCUUUGUGCUCCCAUUUCUCUGCAUAAUAUUAUCAUUUCCUCUAACUCUGCAAAGCAAAUUGUUCUCCAUCCUUCCAAAGCUUGUUCAACUAUUCCCUCUGAGAAGAACUUUCUCAGUGUCACCAGAUGGUUAGUUACACUCUUCACUAUCAGCAUGUCAAGAAAAAAGAGCUUUAACUCAUGU